CUACGGGGUGCUGCAGUGAGGAAUAUUGCGCAAUGGGGGAAACCCUGACGCAGCGACGCCGCGUGGAUGAUGAAGGUCUUCGGAUCGUAAAAUCCUGUCAGAUGGGAAGAAAUGCUAUAUGUCUAAUAUAUGUAUAGUUUGACGGUACCAUCAAAGGAAGCACCGGCUAACUCCGUGCCAGCAGCCGUGGUAAUACGGAGGGUGCAAGCGUUGUUCGGAAUUACUGGGCGUAAAGCGCGCGUAGGCGGUCUGUUAAGUCAGAUGUGAAAGCCCAUGGCUCAACCAUGGACGUGCAUUUGAUACUGACAGACUUGAGUACUGGAGGGGAUGGUGGAAUUCCCGGUGUAGAGGUGAAAUUCGUAGAUAUCGGGAGGAAUACCGGUGGCGAAGGCGACCAUCUGGCCAGAUACUGACGCUGAGGUGCGAAAGCGUGGGGAGCAAACAGGAUUAGAUACCCGCGUAGUC
rnacentral:rRNA from 1 species